GCAUUAGCUAGUUGGUGAGGUAAUGGCUCACCAAGGCAACGAUGCGUAGCCGACCUGAGAGGGUGAUCGGCCACACUGGGACUGAGACACGGCCCAGACUCCUACGGGAGGCAGCAGUAGGGAAUCUUCCGCAAUGGACGAAAGUCUGACGGAGCAACGCCGCGUGAGUGAUGAAGGUUUUCGGAUCGUAAAGCUCUGUUGUUAGGGAAGAACAAGUACCGUUCGAAUAGGGCGGUACC
rnacentral:rRNA from 1 species